AUGGUUGCAGGAAUCAUUAGUUCUGGUUUCGAAAUUGGAGCAGUGUCAGAUCGGUUCCUCUGUUCCAUCACCUAUGUUGUUUGUCGGUUAUUUUCAGAUCUCAAAUGCAUGCGCCCUUGUGAUACUCUAGUUCCAGGGUCCGUUAAUACAAGGUGGAUUAUUGGCCCUCUGUCGAUUCUUGUCCCACCUAGAUGCAGGUCUCAACAUUGCGGUUGUGUGCUGGUCUCGCUUUCGGCAGGCGUGUGUGCUCCCAUCCUAGAUGCAGAGAAUCUUGUUCUGUCCGUUGCGGUUGUUCUGAUGGUGUUCUUUUCAAUUGGUUUAUUGUUAUCACGCUUUUCUUAUGUUCCCAUAUGGCACGAUUGA
rnacentral:rRNA from 1 species